UACGGAGGGUGCGAGCGUUGUCCGGAAUCAUUGGGCGUAAAGGGCGCGUAGGUGGCCCGGUCAGUUCGUGGUGAAAGCGCGGGGCUCAACCCUGCGUCGGCCAUGAAUACUGCCGCGGCUGGAGCACUGUAGAGGCAGGCGGAAUUCCGGGUGUAGCGGUGGAAUGCGCAGAUAUCAGGAGGAACACCGAUGGCGAAGGCAGCUCGCUGGGACGGUACUGACGCUGAGGCGCGAAAGCGUGGGGAGCGAACAGG
rnacentral:rRNA from 1 species